rnacentral:lncRNA from 1 species
CGCCAUACCCAUUAUUUUUUAUUUUCCUCUUUUAUUGACUUUUGACCAUAAAAUUUAACCCCAAUAAAUCUUUUUAUAUCAUUUUAUUCAAAAAACUUUUUUAACCCUCUUUUUCCCGUUCCACCUAUUAAAAAAAAAUUUGAGUUGAAAUGAUAUUUCUACUGGUUAAAAACUUUUGAAUUGAAAUGGUAUAAAAAAAUUUAUUGGAGCUAAUUUUAUAAUUAAAAUAGAGAUAAGAGAUGAAAGGGUAUAGUGAAAUCUUUAAAGGUUUUUUUAUACUGCUCGAAAGAAAAACGAAAAUAAAAUCUACCAUGAAAUAAUACGAAAAAUUAAAAUUCUAUAUGAAAUUUUUCCUUAAAAGAAAUUGUAGAACCGUGUCACAAAUCCACCAUCUCAGCCUAAACAGAAUAAAAUCUCUACGAUGGCUUGGACACUUUACUGCACCAACUUAUGACAUUUUGUGAAUGGCCACAAAUUUUUCUUUGAUACUUACUCGAACUUUGUAAAUUUUCCUAUGUCAUCACGCAACAAACCUCCAUAGGAAGCUCUGACUUUGUGAUCUUAAAUCUCUUUUCAUCUUUGGCCAAAGUUGUUAGAGGAAGUCUUCACUUAGGGCAUUUUUAAAACUCUCAAUCGCUCUUGCCCACUCUGUACUGAAUCACACUACCAUUUUAGAGCUGGUCACUUAGACGGUGAAGGGCAAGCUUUCUAUG